rnacentral:rRNA from 1 species
CUACGGGAGGCAGCAGUAGGGAAUAUUGGGCAAUGGAGGCAACUCUGACCCAGCCAUGCCGCGUGCAGGAUGACGGCCCUCUGGGUUGUAAACUGCUUUUAUACGGGAAGAAAAAAUACUACGUGUAGUAUACUGACGGUACCGUAAGAAUAAGGAUCGGCUAACUCCGUGCCAGCAGCCGCGGUAAUACGGAGGAUCCAAGCGUUGUCCGGAUUUAUUGGGUUUAAAGGGUGCGUAGGCGGAUCUUUAAGUCAGUGGUGAAAGCCUGCAGCUUAACUGUAGAAUUGCCAUUGAAACUGAAGAUCUUGAAUGUGGUUAAAGUAGGCGGAAUGUAUCAUGUAGCGGUGAAAUGCUUAGAUAUGAUACAGAACACCGAUAGCGAAGGCAGCUUGCUGAACCAUUAUUGACGCUGAGGCACGAAAGCGUGGGGAGCGAACAGGAUUAGAAACCCCAGUAGCC